GGGGCAUUUGGACACUGGGCGCAGCCUGAUCCAGCCAUGCCGCGUGUGUGAUGAAGGCCUUCGGGUUGUAAAGCUCUUUUGCCCGGGAUGAUAUCGACUGUACCAAUAAGCAGCCAUGACAGCUCCGGACCAAUAACCGCCGGUCUAACUUCGUGCCAGCAGACGCGGUAAUA
rnacentral:rRNA from 1 species